GAUGCAAUCACAACUGGCUGCAAAAUUUCGAUUGAAAAUUAGCAAUUGAUGACAAGCAUUAGAAGUAAAUCAUUUAGUUUCCUCAGAAUCUAACAGGAGCUACUUGUUCAAAACAAUACAUAUUAUUCAUAAAUGUACACUAUGUAUGCAGAACCAGGCAGUACAGCUGCGUCCUCUGUAGCUUGGAGCAAAUUGAUUUGAUGCGCUAAAUUCUAUCGAGGCGCAGAGCACAAAGACCUGCCUCAAUGGCUCAACCUUCCCAUCUAUUUAUAUGUAUAGAUUUUAUUUUUCACAUGAAACUGAAAAACUAGCACUACAUUAUGCCUUCUUCCCUCCUUUUUCCUCUCGUGUACAAUGACUUGGUAUGUACAUAUAUUGAAGCUUGUGGAUAUUUGAACAGGCAAAAGUGCAAUGAGAAGAAAACGGUCUGGGGUGAUUGGCAAAGUCGUGCACGGCCCCAAACCUUCAGAGACACUCAGUACAUGGAAGAAAAGGUUGACUGCCGAGCACAUGAAGCCAUUACAGAGUAUUCAUCUCACAUGUGCAGAAGAUUAUUUACAGUAACAGUAGCAGAAUUUGUUCGCUGCAAGUCCUGCAAAGUUUGAUGCAUUGGAGGUUCUUA
rnacentral:lncRNA from 1 species